rnacentral:rRNA from 1 species
GUAGGAGGCGAGCGUUAUCCGGAUUUACUGGGGCGUAAAGCGUGUGCAGGCGGUUUGGUAAGUCGGACGUGAAAGCUCCUGGGCUCAACUGGGAGAGGCCGUUCGAUACUGCCAGACUAGAGGACAGCAGAGGGAGGUGGAAUUCCAGGUGUAGCGGUGAAAUGCGUAGAUAUCUGGAGGAACACCAGUGGCGAAAGCGGCCUCCUGGACUGUCCCUGACGCUAAGACACGAAAGCUAGGGGAGCAAACGGGAUUAGAAACCCCGGUAGUCCUAGCCGUAAACGAUGCAGACUUGCUGUUGGUGGUGUAAAAAUCAUCAGUGCCGUAGCUAACGCGAUAAGUCUGCCGCCUGGGGACUACGACCGCAAGGUUAA